UGUGCUUCCUGUAUCACCACAGCUUCCUGCUCCGUCUCUUCCUGUUUCACCGCAGCUAGAUGAGGAAGGAGGUGAAGGGGGUUGGAAGAGGGAGCUACUCUUCUCCAACGUGAGCUCAAUUGUCACAGUCGUCUUCUUUUUCUUCUUCUUCUCCACCUCCUUUUCUCCCACUACCUCUUCCUGCUGUGCUUCCUGUUUCACCACAGCUUCAUGCUCCAUCUCUUCCUGUAGACACAACAGCUUCAUGCUCCAUCUCUUGCUGUAACACCACAGCUUCAUGCUCCAUCUCUUGCUGUAACACCACAGCUUCAUGCUCCAUCUCUUGCUGUAACACCACAGCUUCAUGCUCCAUCUCUUGCUGUAACACCACAGCUUCCUGCUCCAUCUCUUGCUGUAUCACCACAGCUUCAUGCUCCGUCUCUUCCUGUAACACCACAGCUAGAUGAGGAAGGAGGUGAAGGGGGUUGGAAGAGGGAGCUACUCUUCUCCAACGUGAGCUCAAUUGUCACAGUCGUCUUCUUUUUCUUCUUCUUCUCCACCUCCUUUUCUCCCACUACCUCUUCCUGCUGUGCUUCCUGU